rnacentral:rRNA from 1 species
AUGUAUCAUUGUCUCUGUAUCUAUUUUAAGCUGCUGCUGACAUGGAGAUCCCCUACUCUCUCUUCCUGCCUCAGAUCUCCCUCCCCACACACGACGACUCAAUCAGAAUCAAGAUCGCUCCACACCAUGGGGACCGUGUUGCCCCAACACCAAGGCAACGCCGUCGGGGACAACGCUAUGCCCGACCUGGAGAUCGGUCAACCCACCAUGGAGAUCGAUCAAUCCACCAUAAUCAACAUACUGCACUCCAUGCUACCCUCUGCCUCGCCACCGGCGGUAGCACAACUGGGGCGCGCGCUGUGGGGGCUGGGCUCCCUCACCCUUGUCCUGGCCCUCACCACCGUGCUCCACCUGCCGGCCGCCGGACCUGUCUUCGCCCACUACAAGGCAGCAUACUAUGCCAUCCUUGCCUUUGUUCUCUUUGUCGCAGUGCCGGUGGAGCUGGCCACUGCCUUCUGCCUGCCCGGCCACGGCCGUGAUGGCCGCCUCCGCGUCUUCGCCUGGAAUGCUGUUCUUGGAAGUUAG